AGUGAACGCUGGCGGUAGGCCUAACACAUGCAAGUCGAACGGCAGCACAGGAGAGCUUGCUCUCUGAGUGGCGAGUGGCGGACGGGUGAGGAAUACAUCGGAAUCUACUCUGUCGUGGGGGAUAACGUAGGGAAACUUACGCUAAUACCGCAUACGACCUACGGGUGAAAGCAGGGGACCUUCGGGCCUUGCGCGAUUGAAUGAGCCGAUGUCGGAUUAGCUAGUUGGCGGGGUAAAGGCCCACCAAGGGGACGAUCCGUAGCUGGGCUGAGAGGAUGAUCAGCCACACUGGAACUGAGACUCGGUCCAGACUCCUACGGGAGGCAGCAGUGGGGAAUAUUGGACAAUGGGCGCAAGCCUGAUCCAGCCAUACCGCGUGGGUGAAGAAGGCCUUCGGGUUGUAAAGCCCUUUUGUUGGGAAAGAAAUCCAGCUGGCUAAUACCCGGUUGGGAUGACGGUACCCAAAGAAUAAGCACCGGCUAACUUCGUGCCAGCCGCCGCCGUAA
rnacentral:rRNA from 1 species